UACAGAGGUCUCAAGCGUUGUUCGGAUUCAUUGGGCGUAAAGGGUGUGUAGGUGGCGCCGUAAGUCGGGUGUGAAAUCUCGGAGCUUAACUCCGAAACUGCAUUCGAUACUGCCGUGCUUGAGGACUGGAGAGGAGACUGGAAUUCUCGGUGUAGCAGUGAAAUGCGUAGAUAUCGAGAGGAACACCAGUGGCGAAGGCGAGUCCCUGGACAACUCCUGACACUGAGGCACGAAAGCUAGGGGAGCAAACAGG
rnacentral:rRNA from 1 species